AAUAAAAAUAAAAUCAAACAAAAUCCAAUACCUUCCACCUCAAGCUUUCACGUCGGGUUCAUUACUUAUGUCGUAUUACGUGCUUUCCUGCUCGAGAAUGCAUCGGACGUUUGGCUGUAGAAAGUAGUAUAGAGAUUUGCUAAUAUUCAAGCAGUGUAUCGAUUUUUGACUGUUGGAAUAUAAACGAUAGCAAGAAUAUAUCAUAAAUCUAUAUGGUUGUCCUUCGACUAGUUGCCAAAAUCCUUUUUGCCAAAAUCCUUUUUGCCCCAGCCGGUAGGUCUCUAGAUGUUACAGAGAACCGCGAACAACCCAAUCUGCUAAUCUCCGAUACCGCUUUAUACUCACGACCUUGUAUCCACUGACUGUCUUGUUAGAUUAACCCAAAAAAUUUUAUUCACUCCGCAUACUCAAUCCUAUAGACACCCUUUUAAUUCUUCAAUCACAGAUGUAACUUCAAUUUCACAAAACAAUCAAGAGUAAUCACACCCACUUCAUUA
rnacentral:lncRNA from 1 species